rnacentral:rRNA from 1 species
AACGAACGCCGGCGGCAGGCCUAACACAUGCAAGUCGAACGCCCCGCAAGGGGAGUGGCAGACGGGUGAGUAACACGUGGGAACAUGCCCAAAGGUACGGAAUAUUCUCGGGAAACUGGGAGCAAUACCGUAUGUGCCCGAAAGGGGAAAGAUUUAUCGCCUUUGGAUUGGCCCGCGUUGGAUUAGCUAGCUGGUGGGAUAAAAGCCUACCAAGGCGACGAUCCAUAGCUGGUCUGAGAGGACGACCAGCCACACUGGGACUGAGACACGGCCCAGACUCCUACGGGAGGCAGCAGUGGGGAAUCUUGGACAAUGGGCGCAAGCCUGAUCCAGCCAUGCCGCGUGAGUGAUGAAGGCCCUAGGGUUGUAAAACUCUUUCGUGGGGGACGAUAAUGACGGUACCCCAAGAAGAAGCUCCGGCUAACUUCGUGCCAGCAGCCGCGGUAACAC